CAAUAGCGUAUAUUAAAGUUGUUGCAGUUAAAAGCUCGUAGUUGGAUGUCUGGCUCUGUGUUGCGGUCCACCGCAAGGUGAGCACUGCGAUGUGGGGUCUUCCUCUUGAAUGCUGCGUGUGCUCUUAGUUGAGUGUGCGUGGGGUUUGGGAUCUUUACUUUGAAAAAUUAGAGUGUUCAAAGCAGGCGAUUGCUUGAAUAUAUUAGCAUGGAAUAAUGGAAUAGGACUUGGGUUCUAUUUUGUUGGUUUCUAGGACCGAGGUAAUGAUUAAUAGGGGUAGUUGGGGGCGAUUCGUAUUUAAUUGUCAGAGGUGAAAUUACUUGGAUUUAUUGAAAGACGAACUUCUGCGAAAGCAUUUGUCCAAGGAUGUUUUCUAUUAAAUUCAAGAACGAAAGUUAAGGGGAGUCGAAGACGAUUAG
rnacentral:rRNA from 1 species